CGGGAAGAGAAGUAGCUGGCGCCUUAGAGCUCUGCUAGAUAUAACAUCUCAACUAUCAGGAGAAGCAGCGUGCUGUGUGCUAUGAGGACCUAAAGCACUUGUUCAGAGCCAAUUUCUUUGAGGAAUUUGCAACUACCCUGAGAUCUGGAGAAGGACAAGAUUGUAACAGGCAACAGAGAAGAAAGACUACAAAGACCCAAGUCAAGGUCAUGGGCAUUAUGGAUGAAACCAAAGCCUGAAGAAAGGCACUUCUGCUGUCCACCCUGAGAAGAUGCCCCAGAAGGACCUGAACAACAGCUGCUGCAGCUGUCUUUGGCCUUUCAGCCUCCAAAAAGGUUCUUCAGGAGAUGUAGCUGAAAACGGUUGGUGACCAAUCAGUCCUGUGUGAGGUGAGUUUUAUAAGGGAGUCCUGAUCUUUUGUGAGCUAAGAGACACUGAGUAGAGGAGAUACGUCAGAAGAAACAAGAAAAACAAAGGUAAGGCUCUACAGACGGCAGCCUUCUCACCACGGUACCCAAACUCUCUUCCCAGUCUGUUUUUAAGUCUCCUUCUGGCAUCGAACAAGUCUUUUUUCUGAGCCGGCGAUGUUUCAUUUAGAAGUGGAAGGCACUGAGCUGAGCUGUACCUCAGACCCAUUUACUCCGGGACAGUAGAUGAGGCAGGUGUGUGCUCGGGUACUUCUGCAAGGAGGACCAUGUGUAAAGCGAGUCAGAGGUGGUUUAAGGAAAUGAAAUGAGUCGUCUUUCCGCAUGUAUGAGUGUGUGGAGACCUGACCAGGAUAAAACAACUACCAUUGUGUGCUUGUGCUCACUGCUCGUGGGUCAGGCCCUAGGACACACGGUACAGAUGGCUCCAUCCGGCCCUUUCCACGAGCUUUAGUGUUUGACGUGACUCAUUAAGAGAAGAUGGAAGUUUGUCUUCCCUAGGGAGGAGGGAGAGCAGCUUAUGUGGCUUAGCACUCGCUGGCACUCUCCUUUGUGUUAUGGUUUCGUUUUAUGUGUGUGAGUGUAGUUGUCUUAGUCAGG
rnacentral:lncRNA from 1 species